UGCAAAGACAGACUGGGCAUCUCUCACUGCUGGACGAUAAGUUUCUCAUCUUACAGAAGAAAAUAUUUAAACCUUUGUCUUGAAUGUUUUCAUGUUUAAAAGAAAAGUGAAUAAUCAUGCUAAAGGAGCUCUAUUAUUACGCUCGUCUUGUUUACCUUUUAUUCCUGAGUAAAGUUGAUUAAAGAUGAUUAAUCACACUGAAAUGUCUUCAGUGCUAGAUCACAAAUGGAGGACUUUCUGGUGGAAGAGAAGAGCAACAUGAGCAGCUCAGUGACAUCUUUAGCAGAGAACCAUAGUGGCACCAACCUGAACGCAUGUCAUGUUGAGGAUAUGAGCGGAUUCAGUGAAAGAAAAAGUGAUCAACCAUUCCAUUCUGAGGAGGAAUUACAGGAUUUCGCGAACCUUUCAACUUUGCCUAAUCAGCUGGUCACAACUGGAAAUAAGUCUUAUGUCUGUGGUGGCGUGGGAAGAAUUUCAGUAAGAAAGAUAAUCUGAAGAUCCAUCAGCGCAUCCACACUGGAGAGAGGCCCUACAGCUGUGACCAGUGUGGGAAGAGUUUCACUGAGAAAAGGAUUCUGGAGAUUCAACAACGCAGCCACACUGGAGAGAGGCCCUACAGCUGUCCAUAAUACCCCAUAAUAGUCAAUUAAGCAUGUUUCUCCUUUUUUAGCUGUUCUUCACUGCUCCAAGUUAAAUCCAGAAUAGAAUUUAAAUUUUUUCUUUUCAAAUAUAAAGCCCUUAAUAAUCAAGCUCCAUCAUACAUCAGAGAUCUGGUUGUCCCAUAUGUUACCAACAGAGCACUUCAUUUUCAGACUGCAGGUUUAUUGGUGGUUCCUAGAGUUCUUAAACUUAGUUUUUAAAUGGGAGGCAGGGGCCGUAUUCACAAAGAAUCCUAAGACUAAAAGCAGCUCCUAGUGAUGCCAUUCUAAGAGAAAUCUUAGAAUUUCUCAAAUUCUACAAUUAUUCUUAAAAGUUUUCUCUCGGUAAGAUAAAAAAAGUUAUAAAAGAAGCAUCUUAGGCCUUAAGAGAGCUCCUAACAUGAGGAGAUGUUAAGAGUAGUGAGGAGGACCUUUAGUGAGCCUAAGAGUGUC